rnacentral:rRNA from 1 species
AUUGAACGCUGGCGGCAUGCCUUACACAUGCAAGUCGAACGGUAACAGGUCUUCGGAUGCUGACGAGUGGCGAACGGGUGAGUAAUACAUCGGAACGUGCCUAGUAGUGGGGGAUAACUACUCGAAAGAGUGGCUAAUACCGCAUGAGAUCUACGGAUGAAAGCAGGGGAUCGCACGACCUUGUGCUACUAGAGCGGCCGAUGGCAGAUUAGGUAGUUGGUGGGAUAAAAGCUUACCAAGCCGACGAUCUGUAGCUGGUCUGAGAGGACGAUCAGCCACACUGGGACUGAGACACGGCUCAGACUCCUACGGGAGGCAGCAGUGGGGAAUUUUGGACAAUGGGCGCAAGCCUGAUCCAGCAAUGCCGCGUGCAGGAUGAAGGCCUUCGGGUUGUAAACUGCUUUUGUACGGAACGAAAAGCCCUGGGUUAAUACCCUGGGGUCAUGACGGUACCGUAAGAAUAAGCACCGGCUAACUACGUGCCAGCCGCCGCGGUAAUAC